GAGAAAUGGCAGAGCGGUUGAAUGCACCGGUCUUGAAAACCGGCAUACCGAAAGGUAUCGGGGGUUCGAAUCCCUCUUUCUCC
rnacentral:tRNA from 1 species